CGCGGGCGGCCGCGGCGUCCCUGUCAGCGCCCGCGGCGAGGACCCCGGGGCUGGGGCGGACGGCGUGCCCCUGAGGGGGCUCCCCGCGGGAGCGCGGAGCCGGCGACUGGUGCUUCCCACGUGCGCCGGUGUCGCGAGGGCCCGGGAGGACGCACAGCACGGCCGGGAGAAGCAUGGGAAGGAGGCCGAGCCGGGAUCUCAGGUCCUCGGGGGCGGCGGCCACGCCAAGGACGGCAUUUAUGACAUUAACAGAGAACAGGACUAUGUCAAGAAUUCUGAGGGUAUACUUGGUGAAAAUGAAUUAAGACCACCCUCCCAGCUACAUUCUCUCUUAGAGAAGAUCGAGACAGGGUCCCUAUCAGAAAAGAUACAAAACUUUUUACCAACAAAAAAAAGCAAGUAGCUAUACUCAGGAAGAACUUCAAGACACUUACGGGUUUCUUCUGUUUGAUACUGAAAAGCAGGCAAAAUUGGUAUGUCAGCGUGGACUCCGUGUUGGCAGCAGU
rnacentral:sRNA from 1 species